AAGAAAAAAAAAGGAACAUUAUAAACAUUUUAAUAACAUUAUUUUAUAUAUUUGUUGUAUUUUCAAAACGCUUGACUGUGUUUCACUUGUUUGCCCGGAGUUGUAUUUUCGGCGUCAUGUUACCAUGAGAACCACAGCGCAGUUUUUCCAAUGGAUUUAAAAAAAAAAAAAGGGAUCACCCUGGCCUUGCUGUUGACAUGCGGAGAGCAGCAGGGCUAUUCCACUGUCUGUCUUCAAGAGGAAAACUAGCUCUGCCACUGCUGAGGGACUGAACACGAGGAGGACAGAAAGAGAGAGAGAGAGAGAGAGAGAGAGAGAGAGAGAGAGAGAGAGAGAGAGAAGAGGAAAGAGCAUUGAAGAACAAGCAUUGGAGAGUUGUCAUCCUUCAUUAGCCUCCACUGGAAACCUCAGAUUUGAACAGAAUGAAGCCCCCAGUCAAGGAGGAUGAGAGCGGAGAGCAGAGAGGGGGCUCGCUGCAGGUGGAAAAGGAGUCCACAGGGAAGGGGCCCCCUCGGGACAGGGAGAUGGAGCUGGAGGAGGAGGGGGAGAGUGACAGCCAGGCAGAGAACUGCAACGGGGGCCGCAACGCUGGCAAAGCCCCCUGCAAGAAAAAGAAGAAGAAAAAAAAGAGGUAA